AUUGAACGCUGGCGGCAGGCCUAACACAUGCAAGUCGAGCGGAGCGGGGGACGGGUGAGUAAUGCCUAGGUAUGUGCCUGGUAGUGGGGGAUAAGGUUCGGAAACGGGCGCUAAUACCGCAUCCUAUCAGAUGAGCCUAGGUCGGAUUAGCUAGUUGGUGGGGUAAAGGCCUACCCAGGCGACGACCCCUAACUGGUCUGAGAGGAUGAUCAGUCACACUGGAACUGAGACACGGUCCAGACUCCUACGGGAGGCAGCAGUGGGGAAUAUUGGACAAUGGGCGAAAGCCUGAUGCAGCCAUGCCGCGUGUAUGAAGAAGGUCUUCGGGUUGUAAAGCACUUUAAGUUGGGAGGCGUUACCAACAGAAGAAGCACCGGCUAACUUCGUGCCAGCAGCCGCGGUAAUAC
rnacentral:rRNA from 1 species